rnacentral:sRNA from 1 species
AAUUUUAUUUCUAGACAAAUCCUUAACCAUUAACGACAGAAAGAAGAACGCUUAGUUCCAUUACAA